AUCUUUUUUGGUUUGUAAGUGCAGUGAUUGGGUGUUCAUGCUGUUGUGCUCCACGUGCCUCCCUCUAAGCUUUGUUUUGAAGCUGACCUAUUACCUGUCUGACA
ensembl:snoRNA